ensembl:ncRNA C55A6.14 ncRNA
UUCUCCUCACCUGGGGGUCAUCACACAGUUCGUGAUCGGUUCUUCAUUUAUUUGCAUAUUCAUCGGGUGGCGCAAUGGAAUGACUGCAUGAGGAACGCUCCCGGUGGAAUGGCGGACGACGGAGCAGGCGGCAUAAUGAAAAGCCAUAGAAGAGAUAGAGAGAGGGACACUGUGCAAUUUUCUCUGUUUCUCCCACGCUCGCGCGAAAGGCAACAAAAUGCAAACAUUUGAAGAAACAAGAAGGGGGCAGAAAAAGAGUGAGAAGCAAUUGUGGCGAUGAUCACAUCACAGCUGAUGAAACU